rnacentral:lncRNA from 1 species
CCGCCCUGCCCAGCGCUCCCGCCCGCCCUGCCCAGCGCUCCCGCCCUGCGCGGUGCUGCCUGCGGCCUACGCGGCCUCUGUCCCGCCUCCCGCCCCCGCUUGGGUCUGUCCGACGUCAGGGCCUGUGGCUCUCUGCGCCUCCCGCCUCUUCCCGCCCUGCUGUUCUGCGGAACCCACCCGGAAUGAGACGCCCAACAUGUUAACGAACUGGGGCUCCCCGCGGAGCUCCGCCUGGCGGACUAGAGCGGGACUGAGGCCGGCAGCGGACAGCGGCAGGCAGGGGACCGCCAGCGGCCCGGCCUUGGCGGCGGCUGACUGUCCCCCCAGGGGCCCAGUCGAGGAUUCUUUCUCGCGCGAUGCUGGCUCUGGCCCAGCCCUGCCCCCAGGGCCACGCGGAAAACCGAGACUUCUGGGCUUGCAGGCCCGGAACCGGGGGCGUCCUUGUUCCUAGAUUCCUAAUUUGAUCCUGAUCCCCUCUGCACCCCCCCCCCGCCCCUUGCAUACUGAAAGCAGCCAUGACUGAGAACUCAGUCCCUCUAGCUUAUUUAAGUUGUGGCUUGGCUGGAGAAAGGGACAUCUGAAUGACUAAAGGAAGGGAUGCUGCAAAGGGAAUGGGAGUUGGGGGCCAAAAAGCAAUAAAUACAUACAUUCAUUCAACACA